rnacentral:lncRNA from 1 species
GGGAAGUAGUUUCUGAUGGUUCAGCGUUGGACUCUGAUUCAGCUACAGGAACUUCACUUUUAACAGUUCCAACCUUAACGUACUUGCUCAUGAACUUAUAUUCCCAGUCUUGUAAAGCAUCAAGCUCAAAUGGGCCAAGGCCAGAAAUAUCCCCAGUCAGAUCUUUAUCUUCAAAAGACAUCUUUGCUAAAGCCCUGCUAGCAUCCUUGCCAGCAAACAGCGCAUAAGGUCCGCCAGGUCCAUAAAACAUCCUGAUAUUAAGCAGUGGUGUUAAAACCCAAUUAAAGCAUAUUAAGGAACAAAAAAAACAUCAUCACAUACAUAUUUCAUUCUUGCCUGACACAAAAUGAACUAUGUUGUCAAGCAAAAUCAUGUAUCACUUUUGGUUUUGUUAAUUAAAAGCAUAUACUCUCUUAAAGAAGGCCAGGGUUCAUAGUUUUAGGACUCGAGAAAGUUUGGCUGAGCAAAAGUAGCUAGGAGCAGACAAAACAGAAAAAUUAUAGCAGAAACAAACAAGGCUUGCAGUGGUAAGAAUUAAUUGAAAAUGCAAUGUGGACAAAAUAUUCCCAUCAGAGUAAAAAAAAGGGCAAAUUUCAGCAGAAAUAAGUUAGGUAGCGAAUGACGAUGCUUUUCACUGAAUCUCCAUAAUUCAGCUCCACAAAACAGCAUCUCAAAAGAAAUGGCUGAUGUUAGAUAACUCGGCUCCUCAAUGCAGCAUCUUAGUCCAACUCAAACAAUGUUAAGCCCAAUCAAAAUAAAGAUCACAGUGAGAAUUACAUUUUUUCAACCUUGAGAUGGGUGAACGUGUACACAAAUAUGUAGUGGGACUAAGAAGUAAACACUGAACAAAGCAACCAGUAAAAUUAAUGACAAUAGGGAUGACGGAAAACAAUCUGAACAAUACCUUCCACAAGACAAAAGUUUCUAUAAAUCCAUGUUCAACCUUUGAAAUCCAACCUUCUAAUUUUCUACUUAAACCAUGUAGUUUGCAGGUUUGUUAUAUGUCGUUAUAUAAUCAAUUCUCAAACUUUCCAAUAAACAACGGACACAAAAACACACUUUAGACUCUGCAUUCUAAUCAGGUACAGUUAAAAACCAGCUCUACUCAACUUUAAAUCAAACAGGUCCUCAAUAAUACGAGGAACAUGUUAUCUUCUCAUCACAUGUCACAGUAACAACAAAAAGAGCCCGCGUACAAAAAGCAAAAUCUGACCUUUGCAAAAGCAAAAGUACCCCCAAAUUCACAAAUUCUUAAUACACCGAUCAUUAACACAAAAGGGCAUCCGAAAAUGCACAAAUAGGAAAGUUUUAGAGAAAAUCAAUGCAUGAUACCAAAACAAUAAUUGAACAACGUUAACCUAAAAAAGCUUACUUGGAAGGCAUUCACUAUUAACAGAAAAUUAAUAAAAUACCCAAAAUAAGCAUAGACCAUGAAAAUGAAACAAAAUAAUACAGAAGAACAAAUUAAGAAGAAAUGGGUGGGUUUUGUGCGACGGUAAACCUGCUCUGGGAGACAUCGUAGAUCUGGGCCUUGAUGGCCAUAAGCAAGGGUUUAUCGGGAUCGUUGCCGUCGUAGGCUUUGAGCUCCUCAGCCGUGAUCUCACCGAGCUGGACCGGCGGCCGCAGAGGCGGCAUCUCCUCCUCCUCGAUGUGGCGGGGGCGGUGGCGGUCGGGUGGAGCCCCAAAGAGACCCGAA